UACGUAGGGGGCAAGCGUUGUCCGGAAUGACUGGGCGUAAAGCGCGCGCAGGCGGUCUUCUGCGUCUUGGGUGAAAGACCGGGGCUCAACCUCGGGAGUGCCUAAGAAACGGGGAGACUUGAGGGUCGGAGAGGCAAGGGGAAUUCCACGUGUAGCGGUGAAAUGCGUAGAGAUGUGGAGGAAUACCAGUGGCGAAGGCGCCUUGCUGGACGAUACCUGACGCUGAGGCGCGAAGGCGUGGGGAG
rnacentral:rRNA from 1 species